rnacentral:lncRNA from 1 species
GCUUGGGACUUUCGACACUGCCGAGGAGGCCGCUCGGGCUUACGACGAUGCUGCUCGGGCACUCCGUGGCUCCAAUGCUCGCACCAACUUUGAGUACUUGCCUCCGACCUCUGCUGGUAAGGAUUAAACUAUUGUUAUGGAAUGAAUAUAUAAAAUGCAAAAUUAUUUAUUACAUGGGAAUGUUAACCAAAAUUUUAUAUAAAUUUUUCAAUAUAACAAAAAUGAGAGAUUCUAAUCAAAUUAUAUAUAUAUUCACUCAUCCCACUCCUAUUUUUCUCACUUUUUGUUCAUCUACUUUUUACCAAUACUUUCAAGAAGGAAAACUAAUGUUUAAAUUCUAAAAAAAAUUAGUUUUUGAAAACUUGUAUUUCUUUUUAAAAUUUAGCAACCCUUUUACUUGAAAAAGAUGAGAAUUAUUGUAAGAAGAUAAAAAAAAUAAAUCCAAAUAGUGACAAAAGGGAUUUCAAUUAUACAAACUCAGUCAACUAUUUUUUUUUCUAUCAAUUACUUAGUCGUUUCAUGGUUCUGGUUUAUGGGGUUGGUUUAAUUUAGUAGAUGCAGGCGAUGCUAACCAACCAACUGAAUCGCCUUUCUCUUUCGAGGAGGGCUGCAUCGAAGAAGACGGGUUCUUAGGAGCCCUAAAGGCGAAGCUGUUCGACGGCAAGGGGCAGAGGGUGCUGCAGGCGGUGGCGCAAACAACUUGUU